rnacentral:rRNA from 1 species
AGCGAACGCUGGCGGCGGGCCUAACACAUGCAAGUCGAACGAACCCUUCGGGGUUAGUGGCGGACGGGUGAGUAACACGUGGGAACGUGCCUUUAGGUUCGGAAUAACUCAGGGAAACUUGUGCUAAUACCGAAUGUGCCCUUCGGGGGAAAGAUUUAUCGCCUUUAGAGCGGCCCGCGUCUGAUUAGCUAGUUGGUGAGGUAAUGGCUCACCAAGGCUACGAUCAGUAGCUGGUCUGAGAGGAUGACCAGCCACAUUGGGACUGAGACACGGCCCAAACUCCUACGGGAGGCAGCAGUGGGAAAUCUUGCGCAAUGGGCGAAAGCCUGACGCAGCCAUGCCGCGUGGAUGAUGAAGGUCUUAGGAUUGUAAAAUCCUUUCACCAGUGAAGAUAAUGACUGUAGCCGGAGAAGAAGCCCCGGCUAACUUCGUGCCAGCAGCCGCAGUAAAAC